GUGAAUCAUCAAAUUUUUGAACGCAAAUUGCACUCUCCUCGGAGAGUAUGCCUGUUUGAGUGUCAGCCUAUAAAAAAUCGACAUCGUUGUUGUUUCUCGGUGGCGUUCGUCGGAAAUUGGGUCAUCUUAACGCUUUUGGGUUGAAGCGACUUAAAAUUUUCCUUUUUGUUCCAUGAACGUUUUUAAGAUUGAUUUCUUGACACGUUUAAGGUAUCGAUUUUUAUUGGACG
rnacentral:misc_RNA from 1 species